AUUUAGAUGACGAGUCCUAAAUAGGACGAAACGCGCAUCCUGAAU
rnacentral:hammerhead_ribozyme from 1 species